rnacentral:rRNA from 1 species
GAUGAACGCUGGCGGCGUGCCUAAUACAUGCAAGUCGAGCGAACAGACGAGGAGCUUGCUCCUCUGACGUUAGCGGCGGACGGGUGAGUAACACGUGGAUAACCUACCUAUAAGACUGGGAUAACUUCGGGAAACCGGAGCUAAUACCGGAUAACAUGUUGAACCGCAUGGUUCAACAGUGAAAGACGGUCUUGCUGUCACUUAUAGAUGGAUCCGCGCCGCAUUAGCUAGUUGGUAAGGUAACGGCUUACCAAGGCAACGAUGCGUAGCCGACCUGAGAGGGUGAUCGGCCACACUGGAACUGAGACACGGUCCAGACGACUAAGGGAGGCAGCAGUAGGGAAUCUUCCGCAAUGGGCGAAAGCCUGACGGAGCAACGCCGCGUGAGAGAAGAAGGUCUUCGGAUCGUAAAACUCUGUUAUUAGGGAAGAACAAAUGUGUAAGUAACUAUGCACGUCUUGACGGUACCUAAUCAGAAAGCCACGGCUAACUACGUG